GUGAGUGCUAUGACUUGAGAAACAAUCAGGACUGAGUGCCGAAGGCGUGACAGACUGUACUACCCAUAGAAUACGAGCACGC
rfam:Physcomitrella patens subsp. patens PHYPAscaffold_644 genomic scaffold, whole genome shotgun sequence.